GACCCUCUAUGGCGGGUAGUUUGACUGGGGCGGUCGCCUCCUAAAGAGUAACGGAGGCGCGCGAUGGUAUGCUCAGGCCGGUUGGAAACCGGCUGCGAGAGUGCAAUGGCAUAAGCAUGCCUGACUGCGAGACCGACAGGUCGAGCAGAGACGAAAGUCGGUCAUAGUGAUCCGGUGGUCCCUCGUGGAAGGGCCAUCGCUCAACGGAUAAAAGGUACGCCGGGGAUAACAGGCUGAUGACCCCCAAGAGUCCAUAUCGA
rnacentral:rRNA from 1 species